UGUACCGAGUUUGGUUUCGAUUGAUCAAAGUUUGGCCGAGAUACAGCAUCUCAACCGAUUUUAGGUCAGCCUCAGUAAGUUCACAGCAUCAUAACUUUUUUUUUCACUAGUGUUCAAAAAAUUCUGUUCAGUCAUUUCUGUGCGGCUCAGUCCAAAGAACAUCUGAGCCAAAUUUCAGAAGAAUUGGACCAAUUUUGAAGGAGGAGUAGUGUUUAGACUGAAUACUGUACUUUUCAAAAUGGCCGCCACUGUAAUGGGCGGAGUCUUAAUGUAAGAUAUGGAAUGGAAUCUCCAUGAAGAGACAAAAUAGAUGUACUAAGUUUUAUUUUCAUAGAAUUAGUGGUUCAAGAGUUAUUAACGUUUGAAUGUUGAAUUUUUGGACUGCUGGUGGCGCUAUAGAGUUUGGCCUAGAGACCCCAAAGUUGGUCAGAUCUCUAAUAAUGACCAGUUCUACAAGUGUGCCAAAUUUCAUCAUUUUCCCAUGUUUCCUUCAUAGGGCUGCCAUAGACUCCCAUUGGAGAGGAAGAAGAAGAAGAAUAAUAAUAAUUAAAGCUGCAAGCAGCCUUUCUGGGGCCAAGCCCUUAUUGCUCUUUGGCUUUUAAGGUUUUUUCAAGCAACUUUUUCAGCACUUUUUACAGAACAGAUAGAUUCAGAAUUACAGAUAAGGUGAAAUCAGAAGGUCUGAUGAGAACGAACGCAGAAUGAAGUUACAAAAACACACUUAUUUUUGAUCCCAUUUUAAGAAACUUUAGUACAGCUCUUAACCAUGUAAUAAAGGAAUUGAAAUGACAACUUUAUACCCAAUUUUAAAUUUUUCCCAUACAGGUUUCGAACCCACAACCUCACAGGUUCAGAACCAACGCCUUAGCUAAGUGCGCCACAUUAGUUGACACACAAUUUACAUGGCACAGAAGAGAGGUCAAGGUGUGAGAAUGAUCUCUCACAAGCCCGAAGUAGCAUUUUAGCCAGAUUAGCAUGCUACGCUAAAAAAUGCUAACAUUGUCAAAGUUAACCAGAUUGCUCAAGAGACCCAUUAGAGUGAAUAGAAAAGUGUUAGCAUUUUAGUUAAUUAGCAUGCUAAGCUAAUUAGCAUAAAUCAACAAACACAGGCACGGUCAACUUCGGAGCUGUACAUCUCUGGAACGGGAACGAAUAUCAAAAAUCCGUUCUGUCAUUUCUGUCAGGCCCGUUCUGAAGUUCAUCUGAUAAAACUUUUAACAAAAUUGAACAAGAUUUCAGGGAGGAGUAGUGAAAAAACUGUAUUUCAUUCCAUUCAAUAUGGCGGACAGACGCCAUGUUGGAAAAUGACAAUUGAGACAUCCUCAGAAUCGGCAUAACCAAAGGAAUAAAAUGACAUAAAAAUAACAAAAAUCGAUCAACAUUUACAGUAGUUAUAAGGGGUUUUGCAAGAAUCGUUAUAUCUCUUGAACACUAGGUGGCGCUGUCUUCUAACUUCCGGGGUACCUCAGGCACAUGGUGUUGAUGAUGCCUAUCGAUUUUUGUGAAGAUAUGUACAAUAGAUCAAAAGAUAUAGCAAUUUAUGACAAAAUUCAAAAUGGCGGACGGGUGGUCCUGGUGGUCUCGACAAAAUUGACAUCCACAGAUCCGGAAUGAUCUAAAGAAUCCAUAGACAUCAAGAUUAUAAUUUUCUGAUGAAUUGUUCAGAAGUUAUAAGCAAAAAAGUGCAUUUUUGGUAUCUCAACACCCAUAGGUGGCGCUGUUCCCAAAUUUGGCGUGGACCCCCAGAUCAUGGUGUAGAUGAAGUGUACCAAGUUUGGUAUCGAUUGAUCAAAGUUUGGCCGAGAUACAGCAUCUCAACCGAUUUUAGGUCAACCUCAGUAAGUUCACAGCAUCAUAACUUUUUUUUUCACUAGUGUUCAAAAAAUUCUGUUCAGUCAUUUCUGUGCGGUUCAGUCCAAAGAACAUCUGAGCCAAAUUUCAGAAGAAUUGGACCAAUUUUGAAGGAGGAGUAGUGUUUAGACUGAAUACUGUACUUUUCAAAAUGGCCGCUACUGUAAUGGGCGGAGUCUUAAUGUAAGAUAUGGAAUGGAAUCUCCAUGAAGAGACAAAACAGAUGUACUAAGUUUUAUUUUCAUAGAAUUAGUGGUUCAAGAGUUAUUAACGUUUGAAUGUUGAAUUUUUGAACUGGUGGUGGCGCUGUAGAGUUGGUCCUAGAGACCCCAAAGUUGGUCAGAUCACUAAUAAUGGUCAUCUCUACAAGUGUGCCAAAUUUCAUCAUUUUCCCAUGUUCCCUUCAUAGGGCUGCCAUAGACUCCCAUUGGACGAAAAUAAUAAUAAUAAUAAUAAAACGUACAGAUACAAUAGGGGCUACAGCCCUCUGGGCUUGGCCCCUAAAUAUAGCUGCAAGCAGCGAUACCGGGGCCAAGCCCUGAAGGGCUGUAGCCAGAGCAACGAGCGGGACGAAGCAAAACGGCCGAAACGGUACGCACGUCAGGACAACCGAUCGGUUCAGAAGUAGAGAAGUUUGAAAUUGAACAGAACUUUAGAUGAGAAAGACCAAAAACACAUUUUUGAUUCAAGGCAAACACACUCAGAAAAUCCAACGACUUGAACAGAAGCAACAUUAACUGCCAUUGAUCCAAACCCAUGAACUCAGAAACAACAUUAACUGUCCUGGAUUCGAACCCAUGACCUCAGAAUCUCUGAACCAGGGGCUUAACAUACUGCACCACUGAGUCUUUACACAUCCAGUGAGCUGCAGAAGAAAGGUUAAGGUGUGAGGAUGAGGUCACUAAAGAAAGUUACCUAGCAUUUUAAGGUAGUUUAGUCAAUCCUGGCAAAAUUUACAUCCAUAGAUUCGGCAUGAUGCGAGGAAUAGACAGAGACCAAUAUCCUGAUUUUCUAACUAAUUGUUGAAAAGUUAUAAGCAGAAACGUGAAUUUUUGGUAUCUCACGACCCAUAGGUGGCGCUGUUCCCAACUUUGGGAUAUAUUAUCAGUUCAUAGUGUUGAUGAAGUGUAGCGAGUUUUGUUACGAUUGAUCAAAGUACGGCCGAGAUAUAGCCUCUCAUACAAUUUCGAUUCAACACUGUUAACUUCAGAGCAUCAUAACUUUUUUUUUGACCAGUAGGUCGAACAAUUCUGUUCAGUCAUUUCCGUGCGGCUCAGUCCAAAGAUCGUCUGAAGAAAUUUUGAGAAGAAUUGGGCCACAUUUGAAGGAGGAGUAGCGAAAAAACGGAAUACUGUACUUUUCUUAAUGGCCUUCACUGUUAUGGCAGGAAUUUUAAUGUACACUAUUCAAUGUGAUCAGCGUGAAGAGAGGAAUCAGGUGUACUAAGUUUUAUGUUGAUAGAAGAAGGUGUUCAAAAGUUAUAAGGAAAAAUGUGCAUUUAUGCUAUAUCAUGACCCAUAGGUGGCGCUGUGCCUAAAUUCGGCAUGAACCCUCAGAUCAUGGUGUUGAUGAAGUGUAUCAAGUUUGGUUUCGAUUGAUCAAUGUUUGGCCGAGAUACAGCCUCUUAACCGAUUUUGGGUCGACCUUGUUAUGUUCACAAUUGAAUAACUUUUGAACAAAGACGAAUAUCAAAAAUCUGUUCAGUCAUUUCUGUGCGGCUCGGUCCGAAGAUCGUCUGUGGCAAAUUUCAGAAAAAUCAAACCACUUUUGAAGGAGGAGUAGCGUUUAAACGGAAACACUUAAUUAGCUUAAUAGCAAUUACUGUAAUGGGUGGAGUCUUAAUGUAAGGUAUAGAGUGUAAUCUCCAUGAAGAGAGUAAUCAUGUGUACUAAGUCGUAUCUGGAUAGACCAAAGGGUUCAUGAGUUAUUAAAGUUUAAAAACUGAAUUUUUGAACUGGUGGUGGCGCUGUAGAGUUGGUCUUAGAGACUCCAAAGUUGGUCAGAUCACUAUUGGUGACCAUCUCUAGAAGUGUGCCAAAUUUCAUCAUUUUCCCAUGUUCCCUUCAUAGGGCUAGCAUAGUGAUCGAUUGUUUUUGCUCGAAAAUUCUACCAAAAACAAUCGCUAAUAUAGCUGCAAGCAGCGAUACCGGGGCCAAGCCCUGAAGGGCUGUAGCCAGAGCAACGAGCGGGACGAAGCAAAAUGGCCAAAACGGUACGCACGUCAGGACAACCGAUCGGUUCAGAAGUAGAGAAGUUUGAAAUUGAACAGAACUUUAGAUGAGAAAGACCAAAAACACAUUUUUGAUUCAAGGCAAACACACUCAGGAAAUUCAAAUGCUUGAACAGAAUCAACAUUAACUGCCCUUGAUCCAAACCCAUAUACACAGAAACAAC